GAUGAACGCUGGCGGCGUGCUUAACACAUGCAAGUCGAACGGUGAACGAGGGAGCUUGCUCCCUCCGGAUCAGUGGCGAACGGGUGAGUAACACGUGAGCAAUCUGCCCCGAACUCUGGGAUAAGCGCUGGAAACGGCGUCUAAUACCGGAUACGACGCGCGAAGGCAUCUUCUGCGCGUGGAAAGAAUUUCGGUUCGGGAUGAGCUCGCGGCCUAUCAGCUAGUUGGUGAGGUAACGGCUCACCAAGGCGACGACGGGUAGCCGGCCUGAGAGGGUAACCGGCCAAACUGGGACUGAGACACGGCCCAGACUCCUACGGGAGGCAGCAGUGGGGAAUAUUGCACAAUGGGCGCAAGCCUGAUGCAGCAACGCCGCGUGAGGGACGACGGCCUUCGGGUUGUAAACCUCUUUUAGUAGGGAAGAAGCGAAAGUGACGGUACCUGCAGAAAAAGCACCGGCUAACUACGUGCCAGCCGCCGCAGUAAGAC
rnacentral:rRNA from 1 species